rnacentral:lncRNA from 1 species
AAUAUAUGUAUAGAUUAUUACAUGGCAUUUUUCAUAUCAUACCCUUUAUCGGCCCUAGGUCAUGAUAUCAGCCCAAGAGCCGCAUCAUACCCUUUAUCGGCCCUAGGUCAUGAUAUCAGCCCAAGAGCCGCAGGCUCGAGGGAUGAUAUCAUGACCGAGGGCCGAUAAAGGGUAUGAUAUGAAAAAUGACAUGUAAUUAUCUUUUUAUCAUAUUCUUCAACAGAAGAAAUACAGACAAAAACCAUUAAAAUUUUGUUUUUCUUUGAUAAUUUAUAAUUAACC